UCUUUAUACUUUCAGUUCUGAGCAUCCUCUCUCCAUUUUGAACCUCAACAAAAACCAAACCCGUUCACUUUUCCCUCUUCUAUCUCCAUGUCUCUCAUUCUCUAUCUUCCAGACAACCUUUCCUUUCUCUCUAUCGUCGCCUCUCUUUUCCCCAAACCCCCAAAACCCUAGAUUGCAGUCUCCCCCUUCCUUCUUCUAAAUCAAAUCGAACCGGCCUAUCAUCCUAAACCCUUCUUUUUCUCACUCUCAUUUAAAUCGUUUCAUUUCUCUCUCUGUAAUCAACUUACACUUCUAUCGUUUAUUCCAAAUCUUGGCGCUCCUAUUGCUCUGAAGUGAAAUAGUUGUUCAAGAAGCUUGGUGUACAGCCGUCAGUCUUCGAAAUGGAUACAAUGGGUAUUUCAACUUCAAACCCUAACUAUUGCUUGCGAAUUUGUCACACUCUCUCGCAACUGCAUUUACCGGGUCCACAGAGUCCACUAUUGCACAAGUUGUUGGAAAGACUCACUGGGCAAUACACUGUCCCAAAUGUAUUUGUUGAACAAAAUAUGGAGUGAGAAUACAAUUGUUCUCAAUAUCUUUAUUUAUUUGAACAAAUGACCACAAAGUUGCUGAUAACAUCAUUCCUGUCAAAAUUGACAACUUCAACUGAGAGGGUGUCGGGCCUAGCAUAGCUCUAGGUUUUUCCGUUUACGAGAGCUUAUGUUCUUCUUGGAAGUCUCAAAGGUCUGUCAGUUGCUAUGGAGCUAUCACGAUUUGUUGCUGACUCAAAAUUAGUGAAAUUACCAGAAAUGCGAGUAAGUUUCAGGAUUAAGUUUCGAGAUUAGGUUUUAGGAUUAUAUAUAUUUGUUUGUCGUAACUUAUAAUCAUCAUGAUUUACUCAUAUUUUUACUACUGUUAACUCAACUCUACCUAUAUCCCUCUAUGUAUGCUUCAAUUUCAGGAUUAUCAUGUCUGUCAAACGCAUGGAAUGGCUCAAAACUUCUCAUUAAUUUAGACCAUUAACAGGUUAAGGAUUUUAAAUCCAAGUAAGACACUUUUUGGUGAUUUGUGUUGAUUUAACAAUUUGGAGGAGCACUAAUUUUCAGAUUAGGAUCAUCAGAACUCUCCAAUGCACCCUCCUAUUCUCUAACCCAAACUUCUGAGUCAUUUGUUUUUUUGACUUACUACUACUUCCAGCUUAAUUCUUGCGCCUAUGCUAAGACUCUAUUUUGCAUAUUCUGAUUUUUGUCAUAUGCUGCAGUCGAGGAAAAAAACUUCAUUAACAUAUCACUUUUGCCACAAGCCAUCAUGUUCUCACAUUAAACAAGGAAGAAAGGCUACUUUGCUACAACAUACUAAACUUCAUAUUUUUCGGUUACCACUACCACUUCCAUUACUUAGGCUGCAUUAUCAUUACAAACUAUGCUUAGGAUGAAAAGAAUAAAAGUUCGUUCGAGAGGUGGGGGCAGCUGUCGGCUGCAUUUGUUCUGUAGAAGCGUUGUCCAAAUGGCUGUCCCGAUCGGUCUUUAGACUUUGUGAUAUAACUGUUGGAUAGCUUUCAAGCCCCGGUAUGCAGGGAGUUGUAAAUCUUAGAGGUUGAUCUGGCUGCUGUCAAGCUUUCUUAACAGAGGGCAUUUCCCUCUUCUUUCCCAUUUUGGAGCUGUUGCUGUAUUAUCUUUGAAUUUUCAGAAAUCAAGUUUGCUUUACCGACCUUCGUGUGUUCCGGGGUGCUGUUUUUCAAGGGCUCUGCUUGCAAAGCAGUGUGUGGAUAGCUUCUCGUCUGGUUGCUCGUAUCGGCCGCGUGUUUUGGAGGCAUGUUCUAAUGGCGUUAGCAGAUAUUGAUCUAAGGUGUGGCGGUGCCGUUGGGUUUUCAGACAAUCUGUUAUGGUGUUUAGUCUCUCAUUUUGGACAGGGUUGUUGGUGUUUCUCUGCAGAAAAUUAGAUGUAACAAGUUGUUAGUUGAAUUGGUUUUACUUUGGUUACAUUGAGUUAUAAGUCCAAGUAUGUAGGAGUUUUAGCUUAUGCAAUAUGCUUUUUCUGGUAUCGGUGUGGUGAACUGCUGUUAGUUAGCAGUUAGCAGGAAAUUUUGUUAUUUUGGUAUCUCUUAUACCAUUUGGUUAAUAUAAUUCUUUAUGUUGGCCUUUAAAAAAAAAAGUAACUACACCUGCAUUGUGUCAACUAAUUAAAAGCAUUGUGUAUUCCAGUAUAAUUAAAGGGCAAGUAUGGUUAAUGAAAUAAUAUCAUUACCAAAAAAAUAAAAAAUAAUAUGA